AAAAGGGUCGUUAAGAGGAGAUAGUCAUGGUUCUUUGCUCAACAUAGAGACGAACAUAGAAUAAUAAUAUGACGAUGAUAUGGUCAUAGUAACCGAGUAGAAGAAGAGUCGUCUUUCUCUUUCUUCCAAUUACAGCUCACAAGCUUCCGCACACAAUGGCUGACUCUUCGGGUACGACUCUGAUGGAUCUGAUAACGGCGGACCCGACUCCGGCUCCGGCUCCGGCGUCGGCGACGUCAGCACCGUCUUCGACGGCGGCGACUCAGGCUCCGACGGCGCUGGGAAAGCCGCCCGGGGAGAAGAGGUCGAAGCGAUCGGCGCUGAUGCAGAUCCAUAGCGACACCGUUUCGGCCGCUAAGGCUGCUCUCCAUCCAGUCCGUACCAAUAUCAUGCCUCAGAAGCAUCAGAAAAAGAAGCCUGUUUCAUAUUCGCAACUUGCUAGGAGUAUUCAUGAACUGGCUGCUACGUCUGAUCAAAAAAGUUCUCAGAAGCAGUUGCUGCAUCAUGUGUUUCCCAAACUUGCUGUGUACAAUUCUGUUGACCCUUCGUUGGCGCCAUCUCUACUCAUGCUCAAUCAGCAGUGUGAAGAUAGGAGUGUUCUACGGUAUGUCUACUAUUACUUGGCCAGAAUUUUAUCAGAUACAGGAGCGCAAGGUUUAAGCACAGGUGGUGGGAUUCCUACUCCAAAUUGGGAUGCUCUGGCUGACAUUGAUGCUGUUGGGGGGGUGACUAGAGCUGAUGUUGUACCCCGAAUAGUAGAACAGCUUACAGCAGAAGCCUCAAAUGCUGAUGUUGAAUUUCAUGCACGGAGAUUGCAAGCUUUAAAGGCUCUUACAUAUGCUACUUCAAGCAACUCUGAUAUUUUGUCCAGAUUGUACGAAAUUGUAUUUGGCAUACUUGAUCAGGUUGCUGAUGGCCCACAAAAACGUAAGAAGGGCAUGUUUGGGACUAAAGGUGGUGAUAAGGAGUCUGUCAUUCGGAGUAAUUUGCAAUAUGCUGCACUGAGUGCUUUGAGAAGACUUCCUCUGGAUCCUGGAAAUCCAGCAUUUCUACAUCGUGCUGCACAGGGAGUUUCAUUUGCUGAUCCUGUUGCUGUGAGGCAUUCAUUGGAAAUUCUCUCUGAAUUAGCUCUUAGAGACCCUUAUGCAGUGGCGAUGGCCUUAGGAAAGCUUGCACAGCCUGGAGGUGCUUUGCAGGAUGUUCUCCAUUUGCAUGAUGUUCUUGCCAGAGUUUCACUAGCCAGGUUGUGCCAUACAAUAGCUAGAGCUCGAGCACUAGAUGAGAGGCCGGAUAUUAAAUCUCAAUUCAACUCGGUGCUAUAUCAACUCCUCCUGGAUCCUAGCGAGAGAGUCUGUUUUGAGGCAAUCUUAUGUGUAUUGGGAAAGAGCGACAACACAGAGAGGACUGAAGAGCGAGCUGCUGGGUGGUAUCGUUUAACGCGAGAGAUUCUUAAGUUGCCAGAAGCACCAUCUGUAUCAUCAAAGGAAGCUUCCAAAGAAAAAUCUCAAAAGGCAAAGCGUCCACAACCCCUUAUUAAACUUGUAAUGAGAAGGUUGGAGAGUUCUUUUCGUAGUUUCUCUAGGCCAAUACUUCAUAUGGCUGCAAGAGUUGUGCAGGAGAUGGGAAAAAGUCGGGCUGCAGCUUUUGCUGUAGGCUUACAGGAUAUUGAUGAAGGAGCUCAUGUUAAUUCAUUUGCUGAGACUGCAGACUCCCACGAUUCAGAUACUAAUGAGAACUCACACUCUGAAGGUACCCGAAAAGCGUCUUCUAUAUCUAAUGGAACAGGUGGCAAGGAUACAAUUGCAGGUUUACUAGCUUCAUUGAUGGAAGUAGUGCGUACAACGGUAGCAUGUGAAUGCGUUUAUGUUCGAGCAAUGGUAAUCAAGGCAUUGAUAUGGAUGCAAAGUCCACAUGAUUCAUUUGAUGAACUAGAAUCAAUUAUUGCAUCAGAGCUCUCAGAUCCAGCUUGGCCAGCAACGCUAUUGAAUGAUAUUUUACUCACCUUGCAUGCUCGUUUCAAGGCAACUCCAGAUAUGGCUGUCACUCUUCUUGAAAUUGCAAGGAUUUUUGCUACUAAAGUUCCUGGGAAGAUCGAUGCUGAUGUGUUGCAACUACUAUGGAAAACAUGCCUUGUUGGAGCUGGCCCUGAUGGAAAACACACAGCUUUAGAGGCAGUCACUAUAGUUCUUGAUCUGCCACCACCUCAACCAGGGUCAAUGUUGGGGCUUACUUCAGUUGACAGUGUUUCUGCAUCUGAUCCAAAGGCGGCUCUGGCCUUACAGAGGCUAGUACAAGCAGCUGUAUGGUUUCUUGGAGAAAAUGCAAAUUAUGCUGCUUCUGAAUAUGCUUGGGAAUCUGCAACCCCACCUGGUACAGCAUUGAUGAUGUUAGAUGCAGAUAAAAUGGUCGCUGCUGCCAGUUCACGUAACCCUACUCUAGCUGGUGCAUUGACUCGACUUCAGAGGUGUGCUUUCAGUGGCAGCUGGGAGAUUCGAAUCAUUGCUGCUCAAGCUCUUACAACCAUGGCAAUCAGGUCUGGUGAGCCUUUUAGGCUACAGAUCUAUGAAUUCUUACACACUUUAGCCCAGGGUGGUUUGCAGUCUCAAUUUUCAGAGAUGCAUCUCAGUAAUGGGGAAGAUCAAGGGGCCAGUGGCACAGGCAUUGGAGUUUUAAUAAGUCCUAUGAUAAAGGUUCUUGAUGAAAUGUACAGAGCACAAGAUGAUUUGAUCAAGGAAAUACGGAAUCAUGACAAUGCUAAAAAAGAAUGGACAGAUGAAGAACUCAAGAAACUUUAUGAAACCCAUGAGAGGUUGCUAGAUCUAGUUUCCUUGUUUUGUUAUGUUCCAAGAGCAAAGUAUCUACCUUUGGGGCCAAUAAGUGCAAAACUUCUUGACAUUUAUUGCACACGGCACAAUAUAAGUGCAUCGACUGGUUUGAGUGAUCCUGCCGUUGCUACUGGAAUUUCUGACCUUGUCUAUGAGUCUAAACCUGCCCCUGCUGAGCCUGAUGCACUUGAUGAUGACCUAGUAAAUGCUUGGGCUGCAAACCUUGGCGAUGAUGACUUGUUGGGAAACAAUGCACCAGCAAUGAACAGAGUUAAUGAAUUUCUUGCCGGUGUUGGAACGGAUGCUCCUGAUGUUGACGAGGAGAACAUCAUUGCUAGACCUUCAGUUAGCUAUGAUGAUAUGUGGGCAAAGACACUUUUAGAAACUACAGAACUAGAGGAAGAUGAUGCAAGGUCAUCUGGGACAUCUUCACCGGAGUCAACAGGAUCAGUUGAAUCUUCUAUAUCAUCCCACUUUGGUGGAAUGAACUACCCUUCAUUAUUCAGUUCAAAGCCCACCACAUAUGGGGCUUCACAAACUUCGUUACCCUAUAAUAGGAGAGGCCAAUGGCGAGCAGGUUUAGCAAUCCAUCAACAGGUGUUACCUCUAUGUAUGAGGGUGUAAAUUCUCCGAUUAGAGAAGAGCCUCCUCCUCCAUACUCAUUUGAGUCAUAUGAGAACCCCUUAGCUGGGCGUGGAUCCCAGAGUUUUGGGUCCCAAGAAGAGGAACGAGCUUCAUCUGGAAAUCCAAAGUUUGGAACGGCACUCUAUGACUUCACUGCAGGUGGAGAUGAUGAGUUAAAUUUAACAGCAGGAGAAGAGGUAGAAAUCGAGGACGAAGUGGAUGGUUGGUUCUAUGUGAAGAAGAAACGCCCUGGGAGGGAUGGCAAGAUGGCUGGGUUGGUGCCAGUCUUAUAUGUUAAUCAAUCUUGAGUAUGUAGCAACUAGGUUUCAUCCAUCAUUUCUCAUUUUUCAUUAUUUAGGAGGCAAUAUGAUCUCAUGUGUGUUUAUUGAGCAUUUCUUCAGCAAUUUAGUCCUCAUUCUUUAUCGGGUCAUACAUCCUGCUAGAGUUUCAUUUGGGUGGUGGUCUUGUCUGUGCUUCUUGAAAGUUUCACACUGACCUUUUGCCAUGUACCGGAGACUCCAAAGCAUCCAGAUUUUCAGUUGUGGAAGUUCCUUGGAGAAUGAGUUGUGUUGAUCCUUUGUUUAUAGUUCUUAUUUGUAUCAUGUACAUGUUCAAAUUAUAUCCAAAUUUGUAGCAUAUACAGCUUGUGAGGUGUAGCUAUAAAUGUGUACCCAUUCAUUUUAUUAGUAAAUUGAUUUUAGCAUCUUUUUCAUCUA